GCCCGGGGGGCAGCACUCUUGGGACGCCCGCGCAUGCCCUCUUACGUGCUUUGGUCUCGGCGCCGCUCGUAGGGCAAAGCGCGCGCGGGUGGAAGAGCUCCUCCUCCGCCUAGCAGGCGCUGCUCCCGCGGGGCAGGGGAGAAAAAGGAGCUGUUGAGGAGGCUGGUGCUGCAGAGUCACAUACACCUUCUUGAUUCCCAGUCACAUCAUGAAGAAAGGUAAGAAAGGAGAGAAAUUGGAAAGACGAGGAUAUUCCCAAAAGAGACUAAUUUAAGUCACUAGCUAGCAAGCUAACUAACUAACUAAACCCGAAGACACUGAGAAACAGAUUUCUCCACUAAACUUUUA
rnacentral:lncRNA from 1 species